rnacentral:rRNA from 1 species
GACGAACGCUGGCGGCGUGCUUAACACAUGCAAGUCGAACGGAAAGGCCCUGCUUGCAGGGUACUCGAGUGGCGAACGGGUGAGUAACACGUGGGUGAUCUGCCCUGCACUUCGGGAUAAGCCUGGGAAACUGGGUCUAAUACCGGAUAGGAGCCAUCUUUAGUGUGAUGGUUGGAAAGUUUUUUCGGUGUAGGAUGAGCUCGCGGCCUAUCAGCUUGUUGGUGGGGUAAUGGCCUACCAAGGCGGCGACGGGUAGCCGGCCUGGGAGGGUGGACGGCCACAAUGGGACUGAGAUACGGCCCAGACUCCUACGGGAGGCAGCAGUGGGGAAUAUUGCACAAUGGGCGCGAGCCUGAUGCAGCGACGCCGCGUGGGGGAUGACGGCCUUCGGGUUGUAAACUCCUUUCGCUAGGGACGAAGCUUUUUGUGACGGUACCUAGAUAAGAAGCACCGGCUAACUACGUG